UCAUCUUUAGACACACAACUCUUCUCAGACGCACAGAUCUUUUGAAAGCUGAUGGGGACAUCUGUCUCCACAGCAAUUCAGGAGUUAAUCCUCAACCAAACAACCCUGUUAAGUAAUUCAGAAGUACAGGGUUUGGUUGUUUUUUUUUCUUUUUUUUCUUCCAAAACCUGUAGGGGAAAUGUGGAACACAGCAUAGACAUAUCGCUAUAUUGAAAACUCCAGAGGUCCCUCUGUUCUCCAAGCAGAUGGAGAUCCCACUCUAUAAAAGGUUUUGUCUGUUGGCUCUUUUAAUGAGGCUGGUGCUCCUGACUCUUAAGAGUGAAAAAGAGAAAGUCACUCAAGAAAACUAGCUGAAUAGAAGUGCUUCAGAGAGUUGGAAAUCCAGAGAAUCAACCUCCAAAAAAAUAAAUGAGCGAGGACAAUAAGUGUAAGAACAUACCUUCCCUUUGGAUGACAAUGUUUCUACUGAAAUUGCUCUAUCUUGCCCAGAAAGUGAUCAGUCUGGAACAUGGUAGCAGAAACCAGGAAGAUUGGCACACUGCAUGAUGCUGUUAAAGAAGCAUGGGAUUUGAAAUCAAAGAAUUCAACCCUACAACUUAGUAUAUGCCAUGGAAAAAGUGAAUUAUCAUGAGCCCCAAUUUUUUGUCUGCAGAAAAUGGGAUGACAUCUGUUAUCCCAGAGGGGACUUGUGACAUUUAAAAAUGAAUAUGUUUAAAAUGGUAUUACAUACAAGACACACAUUCGAUACAUAUAAAGUCCAUCUCCCGUAUUGUCUAGCUCUGUCACUAAUUAAAUGUAGAAUCAUCACCAAGUCCUUCAAGCUUUUUAGCUUCCAUUUCCUAUAAGUAAAACAAGACAGAAGAACAGUAGUUUAACAAUAGACAGAAGAUGUGUAGAUCUUGAACAACAAAUAGCUGCAGCUCUCUAAAAGUC